UCCCAGGUGGAGGAGCGCCAUGGGUCUCCAGCGUGGCUGUUUCGGCCAGUGUGGCAAGUCUCCACACAAAAAACUCUCACGGGUCCAGGCACCAUUUCAGCUGGCGACUGGAGUGCCUGGCAGACAGAGUUGCCCAUUCAACUGAUAAAAAGGGGACUGAGAUAGGGAGCCAGGCCAGGAGACUCCUGGGUGAAAAAGCAACACGAGUCUCCAGGGCAGCUGUUUCAGCUGACACACAGGUCUCUGCAGAAAAUCUCACACAAAUCUGGGCACCUUUUCAACUGGCAACUGGAACACCUGGGAGACAGUCGCCUGUUCAACUGAAAAAAAGGGGACUGAAACAUGGAGCCAGGCCGGGAGAUUCCUGGGAGAAAAAGCGCCAUGAGCCCCCAGCACAGCUGUUUCAACUGGCACAGCAGGUAUCGGCACAAGAAUUCACACAAAUACGGGCGCCAUUUCAACUAGUGAUGGGAACACCUGGGAGACAGAGUCUCCUGUUCAACUGA